rnacentral:rRNA from 1 species
AUUGAACGCUGGCGGCAGGCCUAACACAUGCAAGUCGAGCGAGCGGCGGACGGGUGAGUAAUGUAUGGGGAUCUGCCUGAUGGCGGGGGAUAACUACUGGAAACGGUAGCUAAUACCGCAUACCAUCAGAUGUGCCCAGAUGGGAUUAGCUAGUAGGUGGGGUAAUGGCUCACCUAGGCGACGCUCCCUAGCUGGUCUGGGAGGAUGACCAGCCACACUGGAACGGAGACACCGUCCAGACUCCUACGGGAGGCAACAGUGGGGAAUAUUGCACAAUGGGCGGAAGCCUGAUGCAGCCAUGCCGGCGGUAUGAAGAAGGCCUUAGGGUUGUAAAGUACUUUCAGCGGGGAGGCGUUACCCGCAGAAGAAGCACCGGCUAACUCCGUGCCAGCAGCCGCGGUAAUUC